UUGUUUUUAAUAUCGCAUUAGAGUCAAUAUGUGUAUUAAUAAAUGAUUUCAGCUUGUUCCUACAUGCUAUCCUUUAAUCCUUAUUUUAUUCCAAAUCUUUGAGUUGAAAAUAACCAAUAAAGUCAGAAUAAAAUAUUUUCAGCAUGGCAUGCUUCAGUAUAUAAAACGGUUGCCUGUCGUUCUUUGGGGUAGAAACUAUAGUGCCCUGCAUGCAGUAGAAUUCUUUGGUCUGUCUGUAACCAAAAUGUCAAUGGAAAGGAACAUCAUGCAUAGAUCUACAGUGUAUCGUGUCCGGCUGUGUGUGUUACAUAACCUUUUUUGUUAAAGCUUUUAGAUUUUUUGUCACUAUACAUGUACACGUAUUUAAUAGCAUGUUCCACCUGGAUUUCAUGGUAAAUCAUUGAUGUUUUUCCUUCCUGUGCAAAUGUUAUAAGUUUUCAGUUUAUGAAUGAUUUGUGAUACAAAUUAUCUUAUUUUUACAUGUAUACAGAACACUAUAUUGGGUAUUUUUUGACUGAAUGUUAUCUACUCGAGAUCAUGCAGUCGCCAGAUAUCUCUGAUAUAUUUUAUAUUUGCAUGUAUAUUACGCAGUAUUUGUUCAAGGAGAAAAUUUUAAAUAGUGACUAAACUUUGAUAAAAUUAGAUUCUUCGAUACACUGUCUCCAUAGCAUUAUGCAAAUAUAGUAAGUAUAUAUCAUUGUACCGUAUUUAUUUUAAUAGAAUAAAUGACUACAAUUUAAUAAAGGCAUGAGGGAUUUGAAA